rnacentral:rRNA from 1 species
UCCGGAGGAUGCAAGCGUUAUCCGGAAUGAUUGGGCGUAAAGCGUCCGCAGGUGGCUGUGUAAGUCUGCUGUCAAAGAGCGAAGCUCAACUUCGUAAAGGCAGUGGAAACUACACGGCUAGAGUGCGUUCGGGGCAGAGGGAAUUCCUGGUGUAGCGGUGAAAUGCGUAGAGAUCAGGAAGAACACCGGUGGCGAAGGCGCUCUGCUAGGCCGCAACUGACACUGAGGGACGAAAGCUAGGGGAGCGAAUGGG